rnacentral:rRNA from 1 species
AUGAACGCUAGCUACAGGCUUAACACAUGCAAGUCGAGGGGCAGCAUGAACUUAGCUUGCUAAGUUUGAUGGCGACCGGCGCACGGGUGAGUAACACGUAUCCAACCUGCCGAUGACUCGGGGAUAGCCUUUCGAAAGAAAGAUUAAUACCCGAUGGCAUAGUUCUUCCGCAUGGUAGAACUAUUAAAGAAUUUCGGUCAUCGAUGGGGAUGCGUUCCAUUAGGUUGUUGGCGGGGUAACGGCCCACCAAGCCUUCGAUGGAUAGGGGUUCUGAGAGGAAGGUCCCCCACAUUGGAACUGAGACACGGUCCAAACUCCUACGGGAGGCAGCAGUGAGGAAUAUUGGUCAAUGGACGAGAGUCUGAACCAGCCAAGUAGCGUGAAGGAUGACUGCCCUAUGGGUUGUAAACUUCUUUUAUACGGGAAUAAAGUGAGGCACGUGUGCCUUUUUGUAUGUACCGUAUGAAUACGGAUCGGCUAACUCCGUGCCAGCAGCCGCGGUAAUACGGAGGAUCCGAGCGUUAUCCGGAUUUAUUGGGUUUAAAGGGAGCGUAGGCGGACGCUUAAGUCAGUUGUGAAAGUUUGCGGCUCAACCGUAAAAUUGCAGUUGAUACUGGGUGUCUUGAGUACAGUAGAGGCAGGCGGAAUUCGUGGUGUAGCGGUGAAAUGCUUAGAUAUCACGAAGAACUCCGAUUGCGAAGGCAGCCUGCUGGACUGUAACUGACGCUGAUGCUCGAAAGUGUGGGUAUCAAACAGGAUUAGAUACCCUGGUAGUCCACGCCGUAAACGAUGAGUGCUAGGUGUUGGGUCCUUUCCGGGAUUCAGUGCCGCAGCUAACGCAUUAAGCACUCCGCCUGGGGAGUACGACCGCAAGGUUGAAACUCAAAGGAAUUGACGGGGGCCCGCACAAGCGGAGGAACAUGUGGUUUAAUUCGAUGAUACGCGAGGAACCUUACCCGGGCUUGAAUUGCAACUGAAUGAUGUGGAGACAUGUCAGCCGCAAGGCAGUUGUGAAGGUGCUGCAUGGUUGUCGUCAGCUCGUGCCGUGAGGUGUCGGCUUAAGUGCCAUAACGAGCGCAACCCUUAUCGAUAGUUACCAUCAGGUUAUGCUGGGGACUCUGUCGAGACUGCCGUCGUAAGAUGUGAGGAAGGUGGGGAUGACGUCAAAUCAGCACGGCCCUUACGUCCGGGGCUACACACGUGUUACAAUGGGGGGUACAGAAGGCAGCUACACGGCGACGUGAUGCUAAUCCCGAAAGCCUCUCUCAGUUCGGAUUGGAGUCUGCAACCCGACUCCAUGAAGCUGGAUUCGCUAGUAAUCGCGCAUCAGCCACGGCGCGGUGAAUACGUUCCCGGGCCUUGUACACACCGCCCGUCAAGCCAUGAAAGCCGGGGGUACCUGAAGUGCGUAACCGCAAGGAGCGCCCUAGGGUAAAACUGGUGAUUGGGGCU